UUUCCACCCUCACAACCAAAGCAAUGACACAAAAGAUUGAAACAAGGAUUUACCAGGGACAUUCAAAUGGUUCAAAAGUGUUUGGCAAUUUUCUCAAUCCACCUAUCUCAAUUCUAGACAAAACAUUAAUAAGGAAAAUGGUUGAGUGCAAAAAUCAUUCAAAGGAAUUCAAAGCCAUAUAUGUCAAAAUUGAAUCAAACUUACACACACAUCAUAAUAAUGAUGAAUAACAUGAAGGGU
rnacentral:lncRNA from 1 species